rnacentral:rRNA from 1 species
AAAACGACUCUCGACAACGGAUAUCUCGGCUCUCGCAUCGAUGAAGAACGUAGCGAAAUGCGAUACUUGGUGUGAAUUGCAGAAUCCCGUGAACCAUCGAGUUUUUGAACGCAAGUUGCGCCCAAAACCUUCGGGUCGAGGGCACGUCUGCCUGGGUGUCACGC